rnacentral:lncRNA from 1 species
GAUUUGGGUAGAUUUCUUUAUAUCCUAAUUAACACUGCUCAGUUAGAAGCCUAGUUAGGAAAGGCUAGAUGAUAGACCUUCGCAAGAAAUUUGGGGGUUCUGAUGACGGAAGGACUAAUGUGUCCUUUUACAAGGAAUGCACAGGAAAGUGACAAAGCCACGAGUUUCCUCUGGCCCCAGCCUGGUGCGAAAGCAGGUAACUCAGCCAUCAGGGAUGCCUUUGGAAUACGAUGAGGUAAAUGCCUAUCACAAAAUCGUGUUCCCCAAGCUCCAGGCUUUGCACUCCAGAGGAGCUCUGUGGUUUCUAAGAGCCAACUGGUGGAUCACAGGAACCGCAGAAUGUCAUCGAUUCUAUCAAGAAGUAAAACUUAAAUGACAUGCAGAUGGAGCACUCUGGACUCUUACCAAUUUCCACUACAAACAUAUAGUUGGCCUCAAUGGUGAAUCUGAAGAUUGUCUGUGGAAUGGAAACUGGAGAUUUUGACAAUAAAUUGUUCAUGAAUGGAUUCUAAAAAAUCCACCAAUAUUCAAAAUAAUCAUUUGUGAGUGCUAAAAGUUACACAUACGCAAAUAUAGAGAC